CUUCGGUUGGAAGCAAAAGCAUUAUUUGUUUGAGGGGUGGGAUUCAAGGGCUGGUUUGCACCAUUGGACGCCAUUAAGAUAGAAUAGCAAAAGUAUACCGGUCUUUAAUGGACACUCGUGGGCUCCGGGGAAUUAUUGUGCGCAGCCUAACCCCUGCUUUGCAGUGUGUGUCAAAUUAGGAGCAAAACUAAAACUCUUACUAACAAGACUGGAUACAACUACCUCCACUGCGAUUGACCUUUCCGAGAUU
rnacentral:misc_RNA from 1 species